GACCAAUACGAUUGCCCAUCUCAAUGUCGAGAAGGCCUACUUAGUGGAGGGACUGAAAAAUAAAUCCAAUCAAGAACUCCAAAGCUUAAUCUUUGGUCCCAUACCAGCGGCUAGUCGGGUGAUGCAACUGUGGUUUGGGGUGAUUUCGUCCCGGUCCGCUGGCUUUAGUGUGUUUCCCUGAAGUGCUGAGUCUGACAUCAUUAAGGGGAUUAUGGUGAUUGCUAUGUUUAUCGGGGGCAGUCCGUCUUCUACCGCCGGAGGGAUUCGCACUACUACUUUAGCGGUCAUCUUUUUGACGUUAAAAGCGAAGUUCCGCGGUCAAAAAGAGGUCAAGGUCUUUAAGCGUAGUAUUGACGGGCAAACGGUGAUUAAUGCCUUCUUGGUAGCCGUCUUUGGCUUAGUGUCCGUGGUUCUUAUUGCCAUUCUGUUGCCGUUAAGUAUGCAACAACCGCUUAGCUUUGUCGACAGCCUGUUUGAAACCACUUCUGCUUUUGGAACUG
rnacentral:sRNA from 1 species